rnacentral:rRNA from 1 species
UACGUAGGUGGCAAGCGUUGUCCGGAAUUAUUGGGCGUAAAGCGCGCGCAGGCGGUCCUUUAAGUCUGAUGUGAAAGCCCUCGGCUCAACCGAGGAGGGUCAUUGGAAACUGGAGGACUUGAGUGCAGAAGAGGAAAGUGGAAUUCCAAGUGUAGCGGUGAAAUGCGUAGAGAUUUGGAGGAACACCAGUGGCGAAGGCGACUACCUGGACAGAAACUGACGCUGAGGCGCGAAAGCUAGGGGAGCGAACGGG